rnacentral:rRNA from 1 species
CAAUAGCGUAUAUUAAAGUUGUUGCAGUUAAAAAGCUCGUAGUUGGAUUUCUGGCUUGUGCUGCCGAGAUCGCAGUUCGACUGUGUAUCUUGGCGCCGGCCAUCUUUCUGCAGACGUUUUCUGGCAUUCAUUUGUUGGGAUUCUGCGAGCAGAUAUUUUACCUUGAGAAAAUUAGAGUGUUUCAGGUAGGCUAGGCCCGAAUACAUUAGCAUGGAAUAAUAGAACAGGACUCCGUUGUCAUUUGUUGGUUUGAGGCAGUGGAGUAAUGAUUAAUAGGGAUAGUUGGGGGCAUUAGUAUUUAAUUGUCAGAGGUGAAAUUCUCGGAUUUGUUAAAGACUAACUUAUGCGAAAGCAUUUGCCAAGGAUGUUUUCAUUAA